CUGUGUACAAGAAAGAUAGGAACUAGUUCUAAAAUGAACUGAGCUGAAAAUGAGAUGCCUGCCUUUACAACUGCACUGGUUUAGUUCCUUGUAAAUGUUA